rnacentral:rRNA from 1 species
GGUGCAGGAUGGGCCCGCGGCCUAUCAGCUUGUUGGUGGGGUAAUGGCCUACCAAGGCGACGACGGGUAGCCGACCUGAGAGGGUGACCGGCCACACUGGGACUGAGACACGGCCCAGACUCCUACGGGAGGCAGCAGUGGGGAAUAUUGCACAAUGGGCGAAAGCCUGAUGCAGCGACGCCGCGUGAGGGAUGACGGCCUUCGGGUUGUAAACCUCUUUCAGCAGGGACGAAGCGAAAGUGACGGUACCUGCAGAAGAAGCACCGGCCAACUACGUGCCAGCAGCCGCGGUAAUACGUAGGGUGCGAGCGUUGUCCGGAAUUACUGGGCGUAAAGAGUUCGUAGGCGGUUUGUCGCGUCGUCUGUGAAAACCCACCGCUCAACGGUGGGCCUGCAGGCGAUACGGGCAGACUUGAGUACUGCAGGGGAGACUGGAAUUCCUGGUGUAGCGGUGAAAUGCGCAGAUAUCAGGAGGAACACCGGUGGCGAAGGCGGGUCUCUGGGCAGUAACUGACGCUGAGGAACGAAAGCGUGGGUAGCAAACAGGAUUAGAUACCCUGGUAGUCCACGCCGUAAACGGUGGGCGCUAGGUGUG